UGGGGAAUUUUGGACAAUGGGCGAAAGCCUGAUCCAGCAAUGCCGCGUGUGUGAAGAAGGCCUUCGGGUUGUAAAGCACUUUUGUCCGGAAAGAAAUCCUUGGCUCUAAUACAGUCGGGGGAUGACGGUACCGGAAGAAUAAGCACCGGCUAACUACGUGCCAGCAGCCGCGGUAAUACGUAGGGUGCAAGCGUUAAUCGGAAUUACUGGGCGUAAAGCGUGCGCAGGCGGUUUGCUAAGACCGAUGUGAAAUCCCCGGGCUCAACCUGGGAACUGUAUUGGUGACUGGCAGGCUAGAGUAUGGCAGAGGGGGGUAGAAUUCCACGUNUAGCAGUGAAAUGCGUAGAGAUGUGGAGGAAUACCGAUGGCGAAGGCAGCCCCCCUGGGCAAUACUGACGCUCAUGCACGAAAAGGCGUGGGGGAGCAAACAGGAUUAGAUACCCCUGGUAGUCCACGCCCUAAACGAUGUCAACUAGUUGUUGGGGAUUCAUUUUCCUUAGUAACGUAGCUAACGCGUGAAGUUGACCGCCUGGGGAGUACGGUCGCAAGAUUAAAACUCAAAUGGAAUUGACGGGGUCAUAGCUGUUUCC
rnacentral:rRNA from 1 species